ensembl:lncRNA
ACCGGCCCACGGAGUUGCAGCCGCCCAUCGCUCCCUCCCUGCGGACAUCAUGCUCCAGUUCCUGAUACCAAACCUGGCUAAAAAACUUGAAGACAUUAAAAAGGACCUGGAUGCCAAGAAGAAACCCCCUAGUUCAUGAGGCCGACUCCAGCCCUGCCUUCUGGAUUCUACUAUUGUCGAGGGCCUCCUUUACUCUGAACCAAAAGCUUUUGUUUUAAUUUCCAGCCUCAGCAGUUUUCUUCAUUGUGUUGCCUUAGAGCACAAAUGGGGCCACAAGUUAAGAACUACCCUUAAUUUUCCAACAGCAUCACUUCUUCCCUUGCUCCUUCCAGCCACUUGGGAGGCCCUGAAACUGGAAUUAUGGUGCUAGAUUAGUAAACAUGACCUUUAAUUAGUAGUCUCUCCCUUUUUCUUUGGAAUUUCUAUUACCUUUUUUCAAAAGAAAAAUUGAUAAAUUUUGUAUAGCAGAUGAGAUAUAAAUAAUGCUGAUUUCACAUUCUAGCAAUUAUAUAAUGGGUAUUUAAACAUUCGGUACUUAAUUAUGUUAUUUCAAAAUAGUAGUUAAAAUCAAGAAGCCAGUUCCUGGUGAAUUAUCCAUUGUUGUCAGGAAGCUGCAUAGUUGCUAUUGUAACCACUAUAUCAAUUUGCUAUUCAUUAACCAAGAAACAGUGUUCUGAGAACCCUGAGAACUUACAAAUAUUUAAAAUAAUGGCCGUUGUCCUCAAUAGUAUUCCUAGUCUAAUAUUCAUGUUGUUUUUUAAUGAUGUGUUUGAUCUGGUUCUUUUCCCUCGUAAGAAUCAUACUUUAUGGGAUAACAGGUGCAUGUGACAUUACCUGGUGGAUAAAUGAGAAGUUGAUUAUAAGGGAAGUUUUAUGCCUUUUUAUAUUUAAAAAAUAUGUUUACAUUAUAACUUUAUAGUGAGCCCCUGAGUGAGUGGGUUAAGGAUCUGGCAUUGCUCAGUCUCAUAGGAAGCCUUUUUGUGUUUUUUUCCUGCAAUCAGAAAUUGCUCUCUUAGUUUGUCAAAUGUAUAAUCAGUCCACAUUUUUUUAAGUGAAAAAAAUUUAAAUAGGUAACUUCCCCUUGGGUCAGUACAAAAGUGAUUUAGAAUUAAGGACUUCUCCCACCCAUGUCCUGCAGCUCCUAAUUCCUCUUCCUGGAGUCAGGCACUGUUGCCAGUUUUUUUGAAAAAGAUUCUGUCCCUAAACAAACAUGUUCAUGAGGGUUAUUAUACAAAUGAUAACAAGCUAUAUACAGAAUUUUCCUCAGUGGAGAUCAUUCCAUAUCCGUAUGUAAGGAACAAAAAACCUCUUCCCCUUUUGUGACUGCAUAAGGUUCUGUUGAAUGAAUAUGCUGCAGUUGAUUUAGUCAGCUCCUGGUGAACAUUUAGGUUGUUUCCUGUCUUUUGUUAUUAUGGUGAUAACCUUAAACCUAAUAUUGUUAUGCAUAUCUAUGCCAGGGAUAGCGCCAAGCUAAAGCCCUAGAAGUGUACUUUACCCUGUAGUUUCUAGGGCUUUACCAAGCUAAAGCCCUCGAAGUAUAGUUUGUUGGGUAUCAGCUUCACUGAUAAUGCCAUUCCUGGAAACAUUUUAGCAGAAUUAGUAAACUGGAAGGAUGAUUUUAGAGACACCUUUUUUUCAGACACUGAUGGCACUGACAGUAAAUGUGAUUAUACAGUGAGGUGAUUCUACUUUUCUUUGAAAACAUGGAUCUUUCAAACAUGGAGAUACAUUUUGUCCCUGUCAGGUUGUCCUGGUUCGUGAGACAAAUUAGGACCUUAUUAUAGUUUGUCUUCUCCUCAGACAGAGUGUGAUCAGGGGCAAGUGGCUUAUUUCUCCAAAACUGUUGUUUUCUCUUUAAGAUGUGGAUGCAGUACCUACCUCAUAGGGCUUCCAUGAGAAACUGUUGAGAUAACAUACGUGGUGUGUAGCACAGUGCUUUGCAGAUUGUCCAAUAAAUAGUAGAUAUUAGUUGGAACGUGCUGCCUUUGGUCAGAAUACUUUUUUCUGCACUCACUUCUGGAACCAGUUUAUGAACCAUGCAAAAUGUGUCAUUCUCUUUGUAAAAUGAAAAUCUGUAGUAUCCACUGUGAUCAUACCACCUGGCUUACCAGGUUUGAUCUUAAAUGACUGAAUUGUUAGCAGAAUGAACUACAGCCUUGAAGGAUAAUGGUUUACCAUCUUGAUAGGUAUUCAAACUUUCACAAGCUUAGAAAGCUGUUUUCAAAGAGGGAUUCAUUGUUAUCAGCCAUGGAGCCUUGAUGCUUGUGUGUAUGGUCUCCCAGGUGGCUUCUUUGGGGAUGUGAGUCACUUAGAUGUUGCAUGAUGAGGUCUCUAUAAUUGUACUUGUAAAUGAGGCACGAUUGGACUUGGAGCUUCCCCUCGGGAGUGACACUUAACCUUGCUGACGGGAUCAUCUCCACCAGUGGGAGCCACCCAGCUAAUCACCUUAAACGUGUGAACAGCAACACAAAGAGUGCAGGCCAACUUCAUGGUCACCAUUCAGAUUCCCUCUCCCAUUUCAGGCUCUUGUAGGAGUGAAAGGGAUCUGGAGUUCUCAGGCAGGAUUAUCUUCACGGAGACAUAUUGUUGGGGGACCUAGAACCAUUAUGGGUUUUAGGCGGUGUGGUGGUUGUGAUCGUGGUACUCAAAGUUAACAUUCUCUGGGUGUUUGGUAGAGGUCCCUGCAGAGGGGUGGGAAGAACUACUGCAAGACAUGCCUUUUUUUUUUUCCUUUAAAAAAAUCUUGAGGAGUUCCUGUUGUGGCACAGUGGAAAUGAAUGCGACUAGUAUCCAUGAGGAUGCGGGUUUGAUCCUUGGCCUCCCUCAGUGGGUUAAGGAUCUGACAUUGCUGUGGGCUGUGGUGUGGGUUGCAGAUGUGGCUCGGACCCACUGUUGCUAUGGCUGUGGCAUAGGCCAGCAGCUGCAGCUCCUAGUGGACCCCCAGCCUGGGAACUUCCAUAUGCUG